rnacentral:rRNA from 1 species
UUUGAUCCUGGCUCAGGAUGAACGCUGGCGGUAUGCUUAACACAUGCAAGUCGAACGCACCUUUCGGGGAAUCUGCCUUUUGGUCGGGGACAACCACUGGAAACGGUGGCUAAUACCGGAUGUGCCUACGGGUAAAAGAUUUAUUGCCAGAAGAAGAGCUCGCGUCUGAUUAGCUAGUUGGUAGGGUAAAAGCCUACCAAGACAUCGAUCAGUAGCUGGUCUGAGAGGAUGACCAGCCACACUGGGACUGAGACACGGCCCAGACUCCUACGGGAGGCAGCAGUGGGGAAUUUUCCGCAAUGGGCGAAAGCCUGACGGAGCAAGACCGCGUGAGGGAGGAAGGCUCUUGGGUUGUAAACCUCUUUUGUCAGGGAAGAAGAAAGUGACGGUACCUGACGAAUCAGCAUCGGCUAACUCCGUGCCAGCAGCCGCGGUAAUACGGAGGAUGCAAGCGUUAUCCGGAAUUAUUGGGCGUAAAGCGUCCGCAGGUGGCACUUCAAGUCUGUCGUCAAAGACCGGGGCCUAACCCUGGAAAGGCGAUGGAAACUGAAAGGCUAGAGAGAGGUGGGGGUAGAGGGAAUUCCCAGUGUAGCGGUGAAAUGCGUAGAGAUUGGGAAGAACAUCGGUGGCGAAAGCGCUCUACUGGACCUCAUCUGACACUCAGGGACGAAAGCUAGGGGAGCGAAUGGGAUUAGAUACCCCAGUAGUCCUAGCCGUAAACGAUGGAUACUAG